rnacentral:rRNA from 1 species
UACGUAGGGGGCUAGCGUUGUCCGGAAUCAUUGGGCGUAAAGAGCGUGUAGGCGGUCCGGUAAGUCCGCUGUGAAAGUCGGGGGGCUCAACCCUGGAAAGCCGGUGGAUACUGCCGGGCUAGAGUCCGGGAGAGGCGAGUGGAAUUCCUGGUGUAGCGGUGGAAUGCGCAGAUAUCAGGAGGAACACCUAAGGCGAAGGCAGCUCGCUGGAACGGUACUGACGCUGAGGCGCGAAAGCGUGGGGAGCAAACAGG